rnacentral:rRNA from 1 species
UACGUAGGGCGCAAGCGUUGUCCGGAAUUAUUGGGCGUAAAGAGCUCGUAGGCGGUUUGUCGCGUCUGCUGUGAAAACCUAAGGCUCAACCUUGGGCUUGCAGUGGGUACGGGCAGACUAGAGUGCGGUAGGGGUGACUGGAAUUCCUGGUGUAGCGGUGGAAUGCGCAGAUAUCAGGAGGAACACCGAUUGCGAAGGCAGCUCGCUGGGACGUUACUGACGCUGAGAACGCGGAAAGCGUGGGGAGCAAACAGG